rnacentral:lncRNA from 1 species
UUGUCUAUUGUUUCUUCACACUGAAAUUAGAGUGAACUUAAACGAACCCCCAUUUGUUUUGAUAUAUCCAUGCAAAGACUUUCAAACCCCGAGAAAACCCUGCUGCAAAAUCUUCAAAUAUAAGCUCAGCUCUGCAAAACAUAAAGCAUUCAAAUCUUUGAUUCUCCUAAAAGUCCUCUGAUGCUCCCUAGUGGUGCAGAGUGCAUAGUUCACAAGUCAUCCAGCCGACUGUUUAUCUACAUCAUCAUGUGGCUACGCACUUAUUAUAACAGAGUCAUACCUGAACUUUAAGGGGGGUCAGAAAAAUACUUCAAAUAAACGAGUUCACGAAUCACUCCUGGACACUCCGGGUUAAUUUAAAGAGACAUCAAAUAGAAUAGAUAAAACAGUAAUAUCAAAAUGAUCCGCAGUACUGCUGCAGUAUCACACUGUGACCACAGUCGGCACUGCCAAAGCAACAGUGCGGCAUAUCACUACGCAGCAUAACUAGACCUACUUCAAAGCCUCGUAUAAAAGAGAUGGCACGACUUCGCAAGAACAUCAAAGACCCGAAAGCAUCAUGCAAUAGCCACAUCAGAGAAACGGGAAAAAAUGAGGCGUGUUUCAUAAUUCAAUUGGACCUGAUUUUAUGCACGUAACAUAAAGGUGGCCACAUGGAAUCACACAUGGAAACAUGAAAUACAUUUGCAAUCCAUCUUGGAGGCACAAUCACAAAACACCAGAGCGCAGAGGGUGGAUGUUAUACAUCAUAUAUGAGGACCGAGUUUGAGGUCGCACAGCAUGGAUGAGAAGCUGACAACUUGUGGACUUUCUCUUCGACACAGAAUCAACAGGACCUGCAGGGGUAAAUUCAAUUUGAGGUAUGUGACAGAAAAACUAAAUUCCAUCCGCAAAGUAUUUUCUGUGCAGUGAUUCAAACUGGGGAGAGUUAAAACCUCAGAUUGUUUGUAAGAAAAACACAGUUUCUCUCAGAAAUAAUACAUCCGCUCCCAGUUCCAGCUGGUUUCUUAACCAAACCUCUUUGGAUGUAAUAAAUCAAAAAUAAACUUUUAAAGGUUUGUAUUGAUGUCACAU